CGUUCUCAUCUCUCCUUCUCUUUUGUCAUGUCUGAAAUUCGAAGAUUUCAGAGAUAUCAAAUCCCAAAUCAAGCCAACCUUUUUAUUUUUCUCCUUAGGGUUUGAGGUUUACAUACAAAAGUUGUUUUAGGGUUCAGUCUCUCUUAUGUAGUCUCCAAAACUCUCAAGAGCAGCAGCACAACGAAGAAGAAAAGCCCUAAACUUCUUAUUUCCUUGGUUUUUUAUUUGAGAGAUCGUGAAGAGGAUUGACGUUUUCCUCGUCAAAGAGUUUGGAAAUGGAAAUCAAAUGGUUCAAUUGAGUAAAGAACCUAACAAUCUCUGCAGCGUUAACACCUUCAAACACUCUGGGUGAGAUACUGCAAAGAGUAUUUCAGUUCAAGCUGGAAAAAAUUCAGGUAUUGUUCUGGCUACUAUCAAGACUAAAAAACAGAAGUACCCUUCAGCUUUGGUGCACAAAACUGUCAUGAAGCUAGGAAACAUACCUUGUCUUCUCGUAUCACUGAAAUUCAGGUAAAACUUUCUGAGAGAGUAUUAGAGCUUCUUGUGUUUCCCGGCGAUGAUGUUCUGCUACUGCUCCUUGAUAUUGG